rnacentral:rRNA from 1 species
UACGUAGGGUGCGAGCGUUAAUCGGAAUUACUGGGCGUAAAGCGUGCGCAGGCGGUUAUGUAAGACAGUUGUGAAAUCCCCGGGCUCAACCUGGGAAUUGCAUCUGUGACUGCAUAGCUAGAGUACGGUAGAGGGGGAUGGGAUUCCGCGUGUAGCAGUGAAAUGCGUAGAUAUGCGGAGGAACACCGAUGGCGAAGGCAAUCCCCUGGACCUGUACUGACGCUGAGACGCGAAAGCGUGGGGAGCGAACAGG